rnacentral:lncRNA from 1 species
CUCCACCUUUGGGCAAGAUGGCUGCGCCCACUGGCUUUGCCGGGAGGGAGGGGCUGCUAUUCUCACGCGCCGAUCUGGAUUCAGAUCAGUUCUGUUCUCUGGUCUCCCGAGGCCCUGGGUUUAUGGGGUCCCCACGGACGGAAGCUUUCCCCCCAUCAGUGGGUUUCCACUGAACCAGCGGCAGGAGUCCUGGAUGAUCCCCCGGUCGCGCGGCCCCUCCCCCACUCCUUCGUGACCCACGCCGCAGCCAUCGCAGACUCUAGGGGAGGGAGCAAUGUUCUCUCCUAUCGUUCCAGCACCUCCAAGGCCAAAAUAACACAUUGGUUAUAGACGAAGCUCUCCGUGUGCCCUUUCCAGACUCCACUUCCCUCUCUCCUCCUCCUAUGAUCUGGCUCCUGAACUUGGAAUGGAGCACAAGCUGAGAAGGGGGCUUCUCUGAAUUCCAGGGGAGGCAACAAGAUCUUGAUUUCCUUCUCACUUAUCUAC